GCGGAAGUUGCAGUGAGCCGAGAUUGCGCUACUGCAUUCCAGCCCGAGUGACAGAGCGAGACUCCAUCUUAACAACAACAACAAGACAAACGCACAAGAUUUGGGGACUCAGCCAGGCCGGGGUUUGGUUCUUGGUUCUGUCACUUGCUAGCUCAGUGGCUUUUGGCAAGUCAGUUUAUCUGCAGCUUCGUUGCUACCUCUACAUUAUGGAGAUGAAAGUGUCCACCUCCAAGUGUGGUUUUGAAGAUUCAAUGAGAUAAUGUGAAUAAAGUGUGUAGCGAAGUGUUUGGCACAAAGCUAAUAUUGAGUCAUUUAUUAUUACCACGGACAUUAAUAAUCAGAGGAAAAUAAGUUUUAAAGGUAAAACUUCUUUUGCGAGAAACCCUCAUGGACACAGGCAGCGGAGUGGCGAAGCGAUCCCUGAGGUCAGGUUCUGAGUUCAGAACCAGGGCAAAGCACAGAGCAAGCGGCACUCAAGUCUUCCCAGUGAAGAUGCUUUUGGUUGCAAGGAGCAGAAACUCUCUCACUGAGCUGGAGUCCUGAAUUCGUUAUGAUAUCAGGUGUCAGGGAAACCAGGCCAAGAGAUGCCACCAGCUUUCAUGAAGCACCAGUACAGAAAUAUGGACGCCAAUACCAUGACCCUCUCUUCCCAUCUCUUCCCUCUCCUUUCCUUCUACACCUGCUCUGUGCCCCAGGUCCACAGCAUCCCAGCGGUGAGUGCCUGUGUUACAUGUCCUCACUUCGGCCACGUGCCGAGGAAAUGCUGCCAAGUUCCGGGCUUGCUCUUUUCUCCUCUCUGCUCAGGCCUCUCCCUCCUCCUUCAUGAUUUAGGCUGCUUUAGGCCAUGCAGCUGUGGUAAGUGUCCUAGGGUCACUCAUGGCCACCCUCUAUAGAAGCUCCCUGUGGGCUGUGAGUAAAAGUGAUGUCCAGAGAAAGGGCUGUGCGUUGAUGCCCCCAAAGGGCAUUCCCUGAAUUUUAUUUGGUUUCCUGACAUUUGCCACAGGACCACAGUUGGUGACAGAUUCCCAGGAUGCUGGCUAGGAUCGGACCCAGGCGGCACUUCUGGAUUCCUAGUUUUUGCUGGAGAGGGGUCGACUGCCAGAUUAACAGGCUGUCUGGCAAAUGGCGGCCUUCGGCAGCACUUAGGUCCGAAAACACAAAGGUUGGCCUAAGAAAACCAUAAUUAACUACACACACACACACACACACACACACACACACACACACACACACACUCACUAGAAAUAAAAGACUAGUGUCUCUUUUAAUUGUCAUUUUUAUAGCUCCCCACCGCAGCUGCCCCCCACCCUUC
rnacentral:lncRNA from 1 species